UACGGAGGGUGCAAGCGUUAUCCGGAAUCACUGGGUUUAAAGGGUGCGUAGGCGGCUAUAUAAGUCAGAGGUGAAAGGCUACGGCUUAACUGUGGGAUUGCCUUUGAUACUGUAUAGCUGGAAUCAGGUUGAAGUUAGUGGAAUGCGGCAUGUAGCGGUGAAAUGCAUAGAUAUGUCGUAGAACACCGAUUGCGAAGGCAGCUAACUGGGCUUGAAUUGACGCUGAGGCACGAAAGCGUGGGGAUCGAACAGG
rnacentral:rRNA from 1 species